AUGGAUACCCAGACUGGGUAGUUAAUGAAAGAGUAUUAGGAUAUGGAGAUAAUGUGACAUUAUUCUGUGUGAUUGAUGAUUGCUGCAAGAAAACAGCAGGGUGGAUUAAACUUGAUCCUAAUUAUACAACAAUCUUUUUAGAUGUGCGGGACUUUCGAUAUAAAACUUCUAAAAAGGAGAAGUAUGCUGCAACAACUAAUAGCACGGGAUUCAGUUUAGUUAUAACGAAUGUUCAAGAAGAUGACUUCAAUGUAAAGUAUUUAUGCUCGUACGGUUUUGAAAAAAGUAGACAAAAGUUUCUUCUUCAAUCAGAAGCUUUCAGAGAUGAGGAAACAAGAUCUGGAUCUGAAUUACCAGUAGCUGGAAUAAUAAUUGGAUCUGUGAUUGGUUCAGUUAUUAUUCUUAUUAUAGCAGCUGUAGUAUUUAUACUGAAACUUAAACAAAACAGGCGUAUAAAAAAAAGAAGUAAGUAUUUAAAAUUACAUUUCGG